AUUUCUAGAAUAAUUUUCAGACUUAUACAUUUCCUUUUAGAGAGUUUUCAUGAAUCUCCUCUUCUAGGUUGCUCUUCAUUUGUGGCCUCUCUCUCUCAAACAACUUUUUUUGAACAUGAAGUUUGACCACCAAGACUCCUCUGCCAUGUACAGCUGUAUGCAGUCUUUCCUGAUACCUUUAAUCCUCCACUUCAUGACAUCAUCACGGACAUGGAGAAAAGGUAAGCUACUGAUGCUGGGAGGGAUUGGGGCCAGGAGGAGAAGGGGACGACAGAGGAUGAGAUGGCUGGAUGGCAUCACUGACUCAAUGGACGUGAGUCUGAGUGAACUCCGGGAGUUGGUGAUGGACAGGGAGGCCUGGUGUGCUGUGAUUCAUGGGGUUGCAAAGAGUCGGACACGACUGAGCAACUGAACUGAACUGAUGUAGCUUUUGUUUGAAAAUAGAAUGUGUAGUUAUGAGAUGAUCUAGCAAAACAUUGAAGACUAUUACACAUCCGAAUUUCACUAAGCUAGGGAAUAAAAUAUUCUGGUUUCCUAUUUGCCUAUGUGGU
rnacentral:lncRNA from 1 species